CAGCCUUAUGUUUUGUAUUUUCUUGGUAGAAUCAAGUAAACAAUUUUUGUUAAAAAAGGAAAAAAAGAAAAAAUGAACGUUUAAGAACCAGUUCAAAUAUAAUUUCUGCCGGAUAUGUAGAAUGCAGUAAAUCCCCUAACGCAUGUCCAUUGCUACAUAGUUUGGUUCUUGUGAAGUCUUUUGUCAUGUAGCUAUUAGAGACUGCAGCUGCAAAAAUUAUCCAAACUGUUAUUUGAGACCAAUAUUGGUUUAGAAAAAAGAAAUCCUUCUGAAGAACCAACCAAAGUAUUUUUUCAGCCCAGUAGUUGAAUGGGUUUAAGUCUGCUUGCACUAGCUGUGCCUUCAUUACUUUGUUAGAGAAAUGCAGUGACUUGUACUAACUAGGAGACAUUUUGAAAAUUGAUUUGAGAAGAGACUAGUAUACGGUUAAGAAUUUCCAGUAAGACCACAUCUAAUGUUCGUAACUGUCUGCUUGUUUAUGGAUUUUUGUAUUUUAAUGUGACAUAGUGAUCUACAAAGAAACUUAGUCAUCCUAUUAAGGUUAUUGUUUACCACUGGGGUGUGAAUAAAACCUAGUAUUUUCAGAAGUUAGCGUCCUCUUAUACUUGUGUAACCGUGUCCAUUUAAAUUGAAAGCAUCUUUCCUUUUCUUAGUGGUAUCGUGGUGCACCUUCACUGAAAACAAUCCUUUAUACCACCUGAUAUAAGCCCAUUUCAGGUUCUUUUGUUGCAAAUUUAAAUUACCAUGCAGAAAUGUUAGUCCUCGCAGGAUAAUGUCUUAAUUUGACACUUUGGGAGUUGGAAGAAGGAACCAGACUAAAAAGCAGUCCUAUAUCUACUAAUAUGCAACGAUAUGUGAAUGAACCAGUGGACAAAAUUUUAAAUCGUCAUAACCCUUAAAGAUCAUUAUUGUUCAAUUUAAAUUUAUUGCGAUCUUGGGGUUGAAGCUAGGUUUAAACUUUAUUGUGUAUGUGUUAUAUUUAGCACUUUGUUUGAACCAGGGUUAUGAUUUUCAGACUGGAAAACCAAUGGCUAGUACCUCUGUCUUAGAUUUAUUCAAAAGACAUUCUUGUGGUGGAUCUUUGUGGCUCCUGUUAGAAUUAGUUAAUUUUGAUGAUCUAUGAUCUAAAUUUGAUCUCACUUGUUUCUCUGUACUCUGUCUUU
rnacentral:lncRNA from 1 species